UUUUUACUGUUAUUAGGCACUAGCAGAGUACACUUGUGUACAUUUACCUGAAGUGAGAAUUACAGCUGCUGCUGUGUAGCUGUACAUUGAGCCUCCUAAUGUGUCUUCCAGCAAACGAUUGAAAAUGAAGGAUGGGAACGGUCUUGGGGUCCUCCAUUGAGAGGGGCCGCACACCCACAAUGCCAGCCGACCUCAGUGGGAAUGGCAAAUGGGCAGCACCAGCCACUUAAGAACAAGACAUGAAGAUUUAAUGAAUAAAAACAAGUAUAUUAUAAGCUCCUUGGGGCACGGACAGUCUUUCCGUUCCAUGUUUGUACAGCGCCUAGCACAGUGGGGGGUUCUGGCCCAUGACUGGGGCUCCGAGGUGCUAUUACAAUACAAAUAAUAGAAUGUUGUGUGGAGUCUCCAAAAUGAAAGUAAAUGGCUAUAAUUAUAACGUGGGUCACAAUCAUUCCCCCAUCAAAAGAAUGAAACAAGUGAGUUAGCACCAUGAUAAAUGAUCAAAGCCUUGGAUUGACCUGCAAAGGUAGUAGAAUAGUGAUGAGGUUGACUGGACCUGUCAUUAUUAUACUGAGGUAGAUAACUGAGUAUCAGUGCAACCUUGUAGGGGUUGAGAUAAACCCUGUCCACUCCAGUGGACAUUUAGGAUAUGAUUUUCCAAGAUGCCUAAGAGAUCUGGAUUCCAAUUUAUUUAAUUUAAAUAGGAAUUGGGCAUCCAAAUCUCUUACGCAGCUUUGAAAAUCUCAGCCUUAAAUCACCCAAGGCCCUGUUCAUAAGAGACUGGAGUUAUCCUGCUGUCUUGAUCAAAUAUUUCUCUCCCUGCUUGUUGUUCAGGAUUGCAGGUGUUCAUUAGCAACAGCCCUUUAUCCUUUAGAGGUGGCUAUAUAUCAGGAGUGCUGUAUGAAUAUGAUCUGUGAAGCCCUUUGGGAUCCUUGCAGAUGAAAGGCAACAGACAAGUGUACAAUAACAAGAUCAGGACUUUUUUGCCUGUUUGAUCGGAGUGAAAUCUGGACAUCUCUUUCCACAGUAGUUUUGGAGCAUACAAUAAAGUAUCAUUUUUAUUGUGGUACACUAGCACGUACUCUGA